AGGGCUGUUUAGUUGGAUUGCAUGUAGGAAUACAAAUUAUUCCACACAAAAAAUUAUCAUAAGCCAUAAUGAGCUUUAAAAUGUUUAUUACUCAGACAGUAGUGUGACUAAUUUGUUCCCCAAACACUGCUGCUGCAGGUGGCUGCUGCUGGAGGCGAUGGCUGCUUGAGCUGGCUGAUGUUGGCGAAGGAUGGUGAUGGCAGCUGCUGCUGGUGGCGGCUGCUGAUAACGCUGGCAGCUGGCGCUGGCAGCUGGUGCUGGCUGGUGCUGGCCAUGGCUGCUGGUGGUGUCUGCUGACUGCUGGAAUAAGAGGAGACUGGAGGCUGUGGAGACUGCGGACGGUGUGCUGGGAAUGGAGAGGCCCAGUACAUCCAUAGCAACCAGUAAGGUGUUCGGCAGUGGCCUAGAUUGUAUGACCUUAGGUGAGGAGGUCUGCUGUGUGGAAAUCGCCUUCUUGGUCUGACUCUUGCUGCCAAGGUACCCCUUAUUAUGGCUGUUUGCCUUCCUCUCAGCUCCGAUGCACUUUGAGUGAAUCCUUAACCUCAGCCUGAUAUAUGUUGAAAGGAUUUUUUUUUCAGCUCAUGGCAUGAGGGAAGGUUGCUGUCCAGACUCAUGGCCUCUCUUUCCAGCUGUUCCAAUACGUUGGAGGAUUCCAUAAGGGAAUCACUCGUCUUGGAACGGAAGAGCUGCUCCACGUGCUACAGGAGAGUGAACAGCUCAUCGCAUGGCCGGUGGUAGAGGACACAAGACUCGGUCUUUGUGAGGUCAGGUGGUGAUGGAUCUACCAGCUGCUCCACUCUCACAACCUCAGAAGCACUGCAGUUGCUGUUCUUGUUGUCCAAGAAGUCCGCCAAGUGGUCUGAUGCAUCAUCCAGAUCUUGCUGGACCAGCAGUAUCGUUGUUGUGGCCAUCACAGGUUUCAGUGGAGCCCCCCCCCCCAAAAAAAAAUGGUUACGAUACCUGUUCUUAACGCCUGUUUACACAUUUGUUGUUCUUGUUGACACAUACUGUACGUAUGUUUGUUGAUAUUAUUCAUGCUUGUUCCCAUUUUUUUUGUUCCACACUGUUAAUUUUUAUCUUAUGCCAGGUACCUUUAUUAUUAAUGUUGUCCUUCCUUUCAGCCCUGAUGCACUCUGA